rnacentral:misc_RNA from 1 species
GAUGAAGAACGCAGCGAAAUGCGAUAAGUAGUGUGAAUUGCAGAAUUCAGUGAAUCAUCGAAUCUUUGAACGCACAUUGCGGCCAUAGGUAUUCCUUUGGCCAUGCCUGUUCGAGCGUCAUUUACACCCUCAAGCCUAGCUUGGUGUUGGGCGCCUGUCCCGCCGUUUUCGCGCGCGGACUCGCCUCAAAGUCAUUGGCGGCGGUCGUGCCGGCCCCCUCGCGCAGCACAUUUGCGCUUCUCGGAGGCCCGGCGGAUCCGCGCUCCAGCAAGAUCUUUCACGACUUGACCUCGGAUCAGGUAGGGAUACCCGCUGAACUUAAGCAUAUCAAUAAGCGGAGGA